rnacentral:lncRNA from 1 species
CAUAUUUUAAUAGAGGUAUGCUUCAAUACACCAUAAAUAUUAAAAUUUAAUUUUUAAUUAAUAAAGGAUAUAGUUGAAUUUUACAUAAAGUAACUUCUUGAAUAGGUUACCAAUUUAAAUUAGUUAAUAUGGCAACAUUAGAAAAAAAAUUAAUAGUAUAUACCAAAUUUGCUAGUGUCCUAUAAAUAUUAAAUAUCUUAUUUACUUUUGUUACUUACCAAAUUAGAUAAUACCUAAUUUGUUAAGUAUCUAACUCAAAAAAAUAUUGAAUUUAAAUUUAAUUUGUGAAGUUGGUAUUAUAAUGUAAAAUUUUAAUUUUGAAAUUUAUAUUAAACAUUUAAAUGUUGAAUCUAAAUUGUACUUUUAAUCUUAAAGCCAAAUUUUAAUUUUUGAUUUAAAUUGAAAAAUUCAAAUUGAAAAUUUUAUUUUAAAUUUCUAUUUUAUAUUUAAAAAUUUUGAAUUUGAUUUAUAAUUAACUUUUUUAUGUUGUUUUGAAUUUAGAUUUAUAGUUUGGUUGUAAUUUAAGUUCCAGCUAUUGUUAUAGGUAUUUGAGAAGUUUAUAGUAUUCGUAGUUAGAUAAAAUCUAUCUUGUGGGCCAAAAUAUUUUACAAAGACCAAA